rnacentral:rRNA from 1 species
AUUGAACGCUGGCGGCAUGCUUUACACAUGCAAGUCGAACGGCAGCGCGGGGCAACCUGGCGGCGAGUGGCGAACGGGUGAGUAAUACAUCGGAACGUACCCAGAAGUGGGGGAUAACGUAGCGAAAGUUACGCUAAUACCGCAUACGUUCUACGGAAGAAAGUGGGGGACCUUCGGGCCUCAUGCUUUUGGAGCGGCCGAUGUCUGAUUAGCUAGUUGGUGAGGUAAAGGCUCACCAAGGCGACGAUCAGUAGCUGGUCUGAGAGGACGACCAGCCACACUGGGACUGAGACACGGCCCAGACUCCUACGGGAGGCAGCAGUGGGGAAUUUUGGACAAUGGGCGCAAGCCUGAUCCAGCAAUGCCGCGUGAGUGAAGAAGGCCUUCGGGUUGUAAAGCUCUUUUGUCAGGGAAGAAACGGCUGAGGUUAAUACCUUCGGCUAAUGACGGUACCUGAAGAAUAAGCACCGGCUAACUACGUGCCAGCCGCCGCCGUAA